AGGGAUUGCCCAGUACGGCGAGUGAAGCGGCAAGAGCUCAAAUUUGAAAGCUGACUCCUUCGGGGUCCGCAUUGUAAUUUGCAGAGGAUGCUUCGGGAGCGGUCCCCAUCUAAGUGCCCUGGAACGGGACGUCAUAGAGGGUGAGAAUCCCGUAUGGGAUGGGGUGUCCGCGCCCGUGUGAAGCUCCUUCGACGAGUCGAGUUGUUUGGGAAUGCAGCUCUAAAUGGGUGGUAAAUUUCAUCUAAAGCUAAAUAUUGGCCGGAGACCGAUAGCGCACAAGUAGAGUGAUCGAAAGAUGAAAAGCACUUUGAAAAGAGAGUUAAAAAGCACGUGAAAUUGUUGAAAGGGAAGCGCUUGCGACCAGACUCGCUCGCGGGGUUCAGCCGGCAUUCGUGCCGGUGUACUUCCCCGCGAGCGGGCCAGCGUCGGUUUGGGCGGUCGGUCAAAGGCCCUCGGAAGGUAACGCCCCUAGGGGCGUCUUAUAGCCGAGGGUGCAAUGCGACCUGCCUAGACCGAGGAACGCGCUUCGGCUCGGACGCUGGCAUAAUGGUCGUAAGCGAC
rnacentral:rRNA from 1 species